AUAAAAGGAUAAAGUUUCGUACAUAUAGUACAAUUCUAAUGGCUCAAUUCCAAAAAAAAAUGAUUGGCGAUGACAAUUAACAAAUCAAAUAUCCAAGACAAAUAUAAAAGAAUUAAAUUCAAAUGUUUAGGGUGACCAACAAAUAUACUAUUACUCAAUCAUUGCAAAUUCUAAAUUAUUUGCAGGUCUUGUGAACCAUC
rnacentral:lncRNA from 1 species